AAAUUUGCUGCCAUUCUUAUGAAAACAUUCGCAAACAAAUAUUGGUGGUGGCAUUCUUAUUCUUUCCAAAAGGAAGUUUAGAAAGCCCCUGCAAUAAAAUUUGCGUUACGAUAUAGUAUAAAAGGCUUACU
rnacentral:ncRNA from 1 species